UAUUAAAGUUUUGACCAAUAAAGGUCUUUAACAGACAUUCUGAUAGACUUUGUUAUGUGUGUGUAAAAAUAACAUAGACACAGACUGUUACAUCUGGCCUACAAAAAGUUCACAGGUGAGUUGAAAAGGUGGAGUGCACAUUGCCCCGCAAAGGGCCAGCAACAUCCUGAGGAUUUCAAUAAUGAUCCUUCCGCAGGUUCACCUACGGAAA
rnacentral:misc_RNA from 1 species